rnacentral:rRNA from 1 species
AAUCAACGCUGGCGGCGUGCCUAACACAUGCAAGUCGAGCGCGAAAGCGGGGCAACUCGCAAGUAGAGCGGCGAACGGGUGAGUAACGCGUGGGUGAUCUACCUCCGAGUGGGGAACAACAUCGGGAAACUGGUGCUAAUACCGCAUGACAUCCUCGGGUCAUACUGAGGAUCAAAGCCGGGGACCGCAAGGCCUGGCGCUUGGAGAGGAGCCCGCGUCCGAUUAG